UAAAUAGCGACGGGGACACUUUAGGACGGUGAUACGGGCUGUUGGUGCGCUUCGGCGUUGCCUUCGGUACCGGUCGCCGUUCGUCCCUGGCCCGCUUCUUAGAGGGACUGCCGGCGUUGCAGCCGGAGGAAGUUUGAGGCAAUAACAGGUCUGUGAUGCCCUUAGAUGUUCUGGGCCGCACGCGCGCUACACUGACGGAGCCAGCGAGUAUUGGCUAACGCCGUCCUUGGCCGAAAGGCCCG
rnacentral:rRNA from 1 species